rnacentral:rRNA from 1 species
UACGUAGGGUGCGAGCGUUGUCCGGAAUUACUGGGCGUAAAGAGCUCGUAGGCGGUUUGUCGCGCCGUCUGUGAAAACCAGCAGCUCAACUGCUGGCUUGCAGGCGAUACGGGCAGACUUGAGUACUGCAGGGGAGACUGGAAUUCCUGGUGUAGCGGUGAAAUGCGCAGAUAUCAGGAGGAACACCGGUGGCGAAGGCGGGUCUCUGGGCAGUAACUGACGCUGAGGAGCGAAAGCGUGGGUAGCGAACAGG